CCUACGGGAGGCAGCAGUGGGGAAUAUUGCACAAUGGGGGAAACCCUGAUGCAGCGACGCCGCGUGAGUGAAGAAGUAUCUCGGUACGUAAAGCUCUAUCAGCAGGGAAGAAAAUGACGGUACCUGACUACGAAGCCCCGGCUAACUACGUGCCAGCAGCCGCGGUAAUACGUAGGGGGCAAGCGUUAUCCGGAUUUACUGGGUGGAAAGGGAGCGUAGACGGCAGCACAAGGCUGGAGUGAAAUCCCGGGGCUUAACCCCGGAACUGCUUUGGAAACUGUGCGGCGGGAGUGCAGGAGGGGUAAGCGGAAUUCCUAGUGUAGCGGUGAAAUGCGUAGAUAUUAGGAGGAACACCGGGGGCGAAGGCGGCUUACUGGACUGUAACUGACGUUGAGGCUCGAAAGCGUGGGGAGCAAACAGGAUUAGAUACCCGGGUAGUC
rnacentral:rRNA from 1 species